AAAAAUGUGUGUCAUAUUUUUAUAAAAAGUCUUACAAAACUUGCAGUUAUCUACAUUAAAAGCUAUUUAAUUUGCAUGCUAUUCUGCUCAACCCGAAUAUCACGGAAAGCCAGACUAUACUGUUGUCAACGUUAGUUACAAUAGGUUUAAAGGUUUGCUGCCAACAAUUGGCUGCUCACGCUACGUUUACCACGAUCGAUGACUUCUUUCAGAUUAAACUGAACGUCGACCGUUUCGUUGGGGCAGGUGCAUGUCCCCACCUUUCUCACGGGUCGACCUGCGACCCACUCCCCAGAAGGGGAAAUAACACUUCAAUGUCAAAUAAUAAAACUUGUGCAGAUCUCCAGAGAUGGGAGCUAAUUUCCAAAAAUUGGGUGCACAAGAUUUGCAAUAUAGUACAGUGGAGCAGAAAGAGGGAUAUCACAAUAUGGUAAACAGUGUAAAAUGCGAAUGAUGUCAACUGCUGCAUUUUUUUCUACCAGGAAAUGACAAUUGAGCUGAUUUCACAAUGAGAAAUAAAUAUGCUGUUAGUUUAAAUUGUAAAUUUAUGUUUUUUAUCAUGUACGACAGUACUGUAUUUCUCUGAUUGCUUCCAACCCACACAACAUGGAUUGCCAGCCAAACAACUGCACAUAGAAUAAACCCGGGCCCCCUCGCUCAUGUGAUACAUCAUCACAUUAAGUCAAAUGAGAAUUAAGAAACAUCAAGGGUUUUGCCAAACGUUUCUGUAAAAUACACACAGGUUUCAUUGUUUUCAUUUAACUUCUACUGUUCAUGCUGUUAUAUAAGUGACUUAGUACCCAGAUUAUGACCCUAGAGUUGUGGGUAAAGCACUGUACCAGUGUACAUUCAUUAUUACUCAAUAAAUCUUAGUUGUCCUUAAUGUAUAAGGUGAAUGUCCAUGAAAAAUUUGUUGUUGGCACAUGCACUUAAAAUGGACACUUACAACACCUACACUUGCAAAUGAAUAUUUGCCUUACGUUUACAUAUGUAUAUAUAAGCACACACACAUAUGUACACCAUCCCCUUUCAUGUACACAUGCAGGCACCCUCGCAAAAAUAAUGUUAAUACCACAUAAUAUUAACCCUUAUGCUUCAUAUUGAGAUGGGUGUAGCUGCAAACAUAAGGAACAUAUGGCUAUUCAGAUUGUUCAUACCAGUGCAUAGCUCCUCACAGUGUUACAUUGUCCCAGUGUGCAGUGACUAUUGUUAUUAAUAAUCUAUUUAACUGUAAAAAAUUUGAUGACCAGUGUAAAAAUGAUUUACCACUUUACUAUAUUCACAAUCCAAAUGCUUAUAAAUUCCAGCCAUUAUUAACUUUAAAGAAAUCAAAAGACCCUCAGCAUAUUAGCAAAAGUUGUGAAGAUAUUACUAAGGAUGGUGAACCAGAUAAAUGAAUAAAAUGUAUAUGUGAGAUAUUGUACAUUGCAAUGGAUGGGAGUGUGUACCCCUUGGAGGGUGAAUAAAUAGUAAAGAAUACAGAAUGUAUGUGACAGGAAGAGAGAGAGAGAGAGCAAAGGUGUGUUUAUCCUGUUUGAGUAUGCUUUUAUUACAUAUGCAGGUAUGAGGCUGGAGGAAGGAAAGAAUGAGGGCUACAAAAAAUUAGUUGGGAUUUUUUUUAUAUAUAUAAGCUGUCUGCAUGUAGGUUUGGUUAAAGCUCUGUGCUUUGAACUAAAGAUUUGCAUUGUCAUCAAGAUCCUAGGUGUGAAUGACUUGGGGAAACAUGCAUUUGCAAGGUACUCUUGUACUAAGGCUUUUAUUGCAUGUGCACAUUACUUUCAAACAUGACUGUCCACUGCAAAGGAUUUUAUUAUAAUUAGAAGUCAAUGGUUUCUUACCCUUUUUAUGUGGAAAGUCUUCUUUGUUGUAAUUUAUCAUUACAUUGGACCAUGUGUGCAAUUUUUAAAUUCAUGAAUAUACACCUUUCAUAUUA